GUCACCCCCACAUCGUCUCCCGGUGAGUUGGCUAUUGGCAUCGGACCAUCGGCUAUAUUAUUAUUUUCUCCUCUAAACAACACUUUGGUUCCUGGGGCAGGGAGGCGAGUCUGAAAGAAGACAUGCUAUGGAAGAGAAAUAGCCCUCAGCUGCACACCCCUCAGCCUCAGCAGCAUCAGCCUCAUCCUCAACACACAGGAGCAGCUAGACCCUAUUGGGGAGCAGCCUCUGUUGGACCAGCAGGAAAUGGAGCAGGAGCCAGGAACAAGCCUGAAAAACCUCUUCCGGGGCAGUGGACGUAGCCCUGGAAUAAGGAACCUGAAAUUCCCUCUUUCAAUUGAUACACAGCCCACCUCCAGUCUGUAGGCAAGACCAUCACAACGGCAAAUUUCUACCUGAGGAACAUACAGC